UCCAAGGUUUACUGAUAUUUCUUUGUCACUUUGUAGAUGGGUGCAAGUGGCUUGUCCACGAUUGUCCAUUGACUGUGGCUACGCUUUUCCUAAACCUCUACUUACCUCUGUCGCCUCAUGAGGCGUCAGUUGUGCUUGAACAAAUCGAAUGGCAAGAAAAUUACCCAAUGGAUUUUUACGCAAACGCUAGUUUGGGACCCUGGACUGUGAAUAAUGAGCGGAACAGACAAAUACCGGUUAGCAGAAGAAAAAAGAACUUACACACAGAAAAGCUAUCUGCGGAAAACGCUCCAUCAAACCUAAAAGGCAAAGAAGGAUGUGAUGGACAAACUUAAGGAGUGUUGUGGGAAAUGCCAUCAAGAGAAGCUACUUUAGUUACAAGAUGAUCUGAACAAAUGUCUACAGUAAUACAAAGAGUGCUUCGAGCGAAAACAGUCGCCUUGGAACAAAAGAAAUACAGGAAACAGAAGGCUCCUACCUCUUCUUUCACUUGACUGGAACAGAGAGGUUUGCGAUCGAUCAUCGUGAAACCAAACUCACGUCGGCCAAUCUAAAAUGGAAAAUAUCACGAGAAGUAAACGAGCAGUGAAAAUGGGUUCAGCGCGAGAAAACAAGAAUGUUUAAACUGUGAUUAGUUAAAACAAUCAGCGAGCGAAUUGAAGCACAACCAGGAACGCCAAGUAAAUGUCAACAGCCUACUUAACAUUAAUGUGACUGAGUUCACAAGCAGGCGAAUCGCAAAUAAAAUCAAUCAAACUGAUA